GCUAUUUUCGGGGGUCCCCGGAGGCAGUGGGUGUUCCCGGGCCGGGCCGCCGGGGGUGUCGGGGCGCCUGCAGCCCGGCCUCACCGGUUCGGACGGUGUGGGGGGCGGUCGUGUGGCGACAGGCUCCCUCCGCUCCGUGGUGACCCCCACGCCGAGCGUCCUUGGCGGGCCCGGGCCCGGGGGCGCCCGUGUCCCCUUCCCAGCGAAGGCCAGCGUCGCCCUGCACCGCACCGAGGUCGGUGCUUGCUUCUGCGGAAGGCAACGUCCCUGAAAGAGGGACAGCUGUCACUUCCACGGCAGAAACCACGAAGCCUGCCUGCCUUCUCUCCAGGCCAUUCUAAAGUCAUUUAAACUUCCAAAUUGGAGGAUUGAAGUCCUGUGAAAGCUGGUGUCCCCUGAGAGUCCAGCUCUGGAAAAUGCACAGCUGCUUGUGUGGAGCACCACGCAGAAGAAUGGGCAGGGCUGAGGGCCAAACCCAGGGCCUUGUGCACGCCGGCGGGCGCCCUUCCGCUGCGCUAAACUCCCAGCCUCUCAUGGACUUUUCUGCUCAGGGUGGUUGGGCCCACAAAUGUUCAAAGGGCAACUAAGUGAGAGACUUCCACCAAUUCCGUCUCCAUUUUGUAUCUGUGUCCUUUGCUCUGAGCCAUUCUCUUCUGAGGUCACCUGAAUUCCGGGUACACAGGGCUGGGGGGUAACAUCUUGUAACAGAGUGGAAACCACCUUGUCUCAGGGAAUUAGCACUUUUUUUUUU